rnacentral:rRNA from 1 species
GACGAACGCUGGCGGCGUGCCUAAUACAUGCAAGUCGAACGCAGUGGGGACGGGUGAGUAACCCGUCGGUAACCUCCCAUCAGCGGGGAUAACACUUGGAAACAGGUGCUAAACUGAUACCGACGGAUGGACCCGCGGUGCAUUAGCUAGUUGGUGAGGAAAGGGCUCACCAAGGCCACGAUGCAUAGCCGCCCUGAGUGUGUGAGCGCCCACGCGGGCACUGAGACACCGCCCAGACUCCUACGAGAGGCAGGAGUGGGGAAUCUGCGGAAAGAGAGGAAUGUCUGACCGAACAACGCCGCGAGAGUGAAGAAGGUUUUGGGAGCAUAAAACUCUGGUGUUAGAGAAGCGUAAUCUAACCAGAAAGCCACGGCUAACUCCGUGCCAGCGGCCGGGUAAUAC